rnacentral:snoRNA from 1 species
ACAAACAAAUGAUGACGAUGACGAGAAAGAAGUCGAUGAAGAGGAGAUGGUUGAUAUUGAUACUGAAGAU